UGGCGAUCCUCAAUCCUAUGAUCAGAGCUUUAUAUUCCGCUCUAUUGUUUGUUGCGGGAAAUUCAAAGCACAGAGCGUACUCCGCGAUGAUUCCCUCCGGACUGAUCAAGAUCAGGCCCGUGCCUGCGCCUGACAUGUUGGAAGAUUCGUCCACGUAGAGGGCCCAAAAGCAACCAAGGGGGUCUACUUCUCCUUCGGGGGAGUUCGGUCGGGGCUCCAAGCCAUCAAUUUCACCUUGU
rnacentral:lncRNA from 1 species